GCCCGGGUAGCUCAGCUGGUAGAGCAGCGGACUGAAAAUCCGCGUGUCGGUGGUUCAAGUCCGCCCCCGGGCACCA
rnacentral:tRNA from 1 species